UGCCUUGUAUUCAAUUAUGAUUAUAAAUUGCAAAUUUAUAGGUGAAUUUUAUUCUAAGGCUU
rnacentral:tRNA from 1 species